rnacentral:rRNA from 1 species
UACGAACCGAGCGAACGUUGUUCGGAAUCACUGGGCUUAAAGGGCGCGUAGGCGGGCUGCCGCGUCCGGGGUGAAAUCCCACGGCUCAACCGUGGAACUGCCCCGGAUACGGGCGGCCUCGAGGGGGGUAGGGGCAUCUGGAACUGUGAGUGGAGCGGUGAAAUGCGUUGAUAUUCACAGGAACUCCGGUGGCGAAGGCGAGGUGCUGGACCCCACCUGACGCUGAGGCGCGAAAGCCAGGGGAGCAAACGGG